UAACACAUGCAAGUCGAGGGGCAGCAGAUCGAAAGCUUGCUUUGAUGCUGGCGACCGGCGAAUGGGUGAGUCACGCGUGUCCAACCUGCCCUGUGCCCGGGGAUAGCCCUUGGAAAUGAGGAUUAACACCCGAUACGUGGCGCUUCCGCAUGGCGGCGCCAUGAAACCGACACAGGAUGGGGGACGCGUCGGAUUAGCUUGACGGCGGGGCGACGGCCCACCGUGGCGACGAUCCGCAGGGGUUCUGAGAGGAAGGUCCCCCACACUGGCACUGAGACACGGGCCAGACUCCUACGGGAGGCAGCAGUGAGGAAUAUUGGUCAAUGGCCGAGAGGCUGAACCAGCCAAAGUAGCGUGCAGGACGACGGCCCUACGGGUUGUAAACUGCUUUUGCGGGAGGAUAAAGGACACUACGUGUAGUGUUUUGCAGGUAUCCCGUGAAUAAGGACCGGCUAAUUCCGUGCCAGCCGCGGC
rnacentral:rRNA from 1 species